rnacentral:rRNA from 1 species
UGGGGGAUAUUGCACAAUGGGCGAAAGCCUGCUGCAGCGACGCCGCGUGGGGGAUGAAGGCCUUCGGGUUGUAAACUUCUUUUGCUCUGAACAAGGCAUGCCUUUGGGGUGUGUUGAGUGUAGGGGUUGAUUAGCGCCGGCUAACUACGUGCCAGCAGCCGCGGUAAUACGUAGGGCGCGAGCGUUGUCCGGAAUUAUUGGGCGUAAAGGGCUUGUAGGUGGCUGGUUGCGUCUGUCGUGAAAGCUCAUGGCUUAACUGGGGGUUUGCGGUGGGUACGGGCUGGCUUGAGUGCAGUAGGGGAGGCUGGAAUUCCUGGUGUAGCGGUGGAAUGCGCAGAUAUCAGGAGGAAUACCGGUGGCGAAGGCGGGUCUCUGGGCUGUUACUGACGCUGAGGAGCGAAAGCGUGGGGAGCGAACAGG